AACGAACGCUGGCGGCAGGCCUAACACAUGCAAGUCGAGCGCCCCGCAAGGGGAGCGGCAGACGGGUGAGUAACGCGUGGGAAACUACCCUUUGGUACGGAACAACUCGGCGAAAGCUGAGCUAAUACCGUAUGUGUCCUUCGGGAGAAAGAUUAUCGCCAAAGGAUGUGCCCGCGUCGGAUUAGCUAGUUGGUGGGGUAACGGCCCACCAAGGCGACGAUCCGUAGCUGGUCUGAGAGGAUGAUCAGCCACACUGGGACUGAGACACGGCCCAGACUCCUACGGGAGGCAGCAGUGGGGAAUAUUGGACAAUGGGGGCGAACCCUGAUCCAGCCAUGCCGCGUGAGUGAUGAAGGCCUUAGGGUUGUAAAACUCUUUUGUUGGGGAAAAUAAUGAUGGUACCCAGCGAAUAAGCACCGGCUAACUCCGUGCCAGCAGCCGCGGUAU
rnacentral:rRNA from 1 species